UACGUAGGGGGCUAGCGUUGUCCGGAAUCAUUGGGCGUAAAGAGCGUGUAGGCGGUCCGGUAAGUCCGCUGUGAAAGUCGGGGGCUCAACCCUCGAAUGCCGGUGGAUACUGUCGGGCUAGAGUGCGGAAGAGGCGAGUGGAAUUCCUGGUGUAGCGGUGAAAUGCGCAGAUAUCAGGAGGAACACCAAUUGCGAAGGCAGCUCACUGGGACGUAACUGACGCUGAGACGCGAAAGCGUGGGGAGCAAACAGG
rnacentral:rRNA from 1 species